CAAUCAAGAUGGCCGAACUGAUAAAGGUGGAAUUCUAAGGAAUAUAGUAACUGUUCGUUCCAUAUAACUAAGCUGGUGGAUUUUUUUCGAGGUAUAAUCAGAUAACUUUCUCCAUGUCUCCAGCAGCUGAUGUUUCUAUUUGGUGUCCAGCGAAAAUGCCUGUCAAAUGAGUGUGGCCGGAACUCCCUGUGAUGC